AAAAAAAUCUUCUGUUUUGAAGAAAGAGAGUGGGAAGCAGGGUAAAUUCGCAGAGAGAAAGGUGUUUGCAGAAUUCAAUUGAAUUGCAAAUGUUUAUCUGAAGGAAGUGUUUUUUGCUGCUGUUGAUCGACACACACCAGGACUGCUGGAGAGAUUCAAGGGGAAAAAAGGAACGGCGGGACAGACCUUGACAGAGUUCCUUAGGCUACUUGACCCACAGAAUAAAGAUAACACCUGUUACACCUUGCAUGAAGCGAAACUUGACCAGCUGUCAAAUUGGACUUCAAAGAAAUUAUUAAAACAAACCAUUAAAGACGCGCACUAUAACCACAAGAGGAUGGCUUCCCCAAAGAAUAACGCUUCAUCCAGUUGUGGAUUGGAAGUUAAAUCCGAGGCAGGUGACGAGAGACCUGAUCAGGCUGUAGCCUCAACUUCAACAGUCAAGCGAAGCAGAAGCCAAACAAAGGAUUCUUGUUAUUUUCCAUGUGAAGUAAAUGGCUCUGGUGGGCAAACUGUGUUAGAUUACAUUGAAAUGGGGGCUAGAAUUAAUUCCUUUAAAAUGGGGGCUAGAAUUAAUUCCUUUGAAAUGGGGGCUAGAAUUAAUUCCUUUAAAAUGGGGGCUAGAAUUAAUUCCUUUGAAAUGGGGGCUAGAAUUAAUUCCUUUGAAAUGGGGGCUAGAAUUAAUUCCUUUAAAAUGGGGGCUAGAAUUAAUUCCUUUAAAAUGGGGGCUAGAAUUAAUUCCUUUG